rnacentral:sRNA from 13 species
GCCGGGUGUGGUGGCUCAUGCCUGUAAUCCUAGCACUUUGGGAGGCUGAGGUGGGUGGAUCACCUGAGGUCAGGAGUUUGAGACCAGCCUGACCAACAUGGUGAAACCCCAUCUUUA